rnacentral:rRNA from 1 species
AUUGAACGCUGGCGGCAGGCCUAACACAUGCAAGUCGAACGAGUGGCGGACGGGUGAGUAAUGUCUGGGAAACUGCCUGAUGGAGGGGUAUAACUACUGGAAACGGUAGCUAAUACCGCAUACCAUCGGAUGUGCCCAGAUUGGAUUAGCUAGGAGGGGGGGUAAAGGCUCAACUAGGCGACGCUCCCUAGCUGGUCUGAGAGGAUGACCAGCCACACUGGAACUGAGACAGGGUCCAGACUCCUACGGGAGGCAGCAGUGGGGAAUAGUGCACAAUGGGCGAAAGCCUGAUGCAGCCAUGCCGCGUGUGUGAAGAAGGCCUUCGGGUUGUAAAGCACUUUCAGCGAGGAGGCGUUACUCGCAGAAGAAGCACCGGCUAACUCCGUGCCAGCAGCCGCGGUAAUUC